AGGCAGCCCCCUAGCGAAAAAAGGUUGAUAAGGGAGGUGUUGUUCUACUUGUAGAUUGAUUUUUAGCUCUUCAGAACUGCUGAUAUUUGUGAUGAUGCAGAUCUAGUAACGCUGAAGUAUAUA
rfam:Beta vulgaris subsp. vulgaris Bvchr8.sca018.con0254.1, whole genome shotgun sequence.